UAACUAUCACACGGUGCGGUAUACUUGUUUAUUUUUUUUUUUUGUGUCUAAUAAAUUAGAUGCUUCACAUAAAAAAAUCUGUAUCACUAGACUUAAGAUUUUAGAAUCUAAAUCUUUCCUACUUAGUGUAAACUUUAUGCGAAGCAUAGUUUACGAAUUUCGGGGACGAAAUUCCAUUAAGGGGGGAAGAAUGUAGCGCCCCAGAUUUUUAGUAAUGCAAUUAAUGUCUUAAACUAGAAUUUAAGAUUAAAUGAAUAGACUGACGGAAUUAUUCAGUAGACUAAUUGGCAUAAUAAUAUUAAUAAAUAAUAUUAAUGUGUAAUAUGUACAAUAUAUAUUUGGUUUAUAAAUUUAUUAUGUUUAAAUAUUAUUGAGAUAAUAAUAUUACCUAUGAAACGAACUAGACUCAAAACGGGUUUAAAAUUACACUCUAGUGAAUUAUUAUUAAUAAAGACCUAGUGUAAAAAUACCUAAAUCUGCAAUAAUAUCUGCAGGUGAUUCGAUGCAUUUUCUGAUAAAAUGCUUACCGACACUCUCUUCCACCGACAGUGUUUAUAUUUAUUUAUUCAUAAAUUGAUUAUUUUUAAUCAGCCGUCCACCUGCUAUAAUCCAUUGCCGACAUUCUUGCCGACACUUAUUCUUUUAAAACUGUCUGUUUCCCUUCAGAAAAUACUCGCACCUCCCAUGAACUAAGCUUCUUCCUUCUGAUCUUCUUAAUUUCCUCCCCCACUGUCUCUUAUUCUUUGCUGUCCCGAUGCAUAUGAGGAAUUGAGAUUGAGAGUAGGAGAGUGAGUUGAGAGAAAGAGAUGAGAUGAGAUGAGAUGAGAUGAGAUGAGAAAUAGAAGCAAGCAAGAGAUUAAGAGUAAGUAGAGAAUUGAGAGAGAAGCAGAAUUUGAGAGAGAAAGAAGGAGUGAAAUGAAGAGAGAAACAGAGGCAGAGAGGGAGAUCCGGCCGAUCCUUCAGUAGAGUCCCGGCCGAUUGUAGCAGACCGAGAGAGAGAAGAUGAGAGACCCGAAGCCGUGAACCCCAAGCAAACCCGAAGAUCCGGCGUGAGCCCAGCCAAAACCCACAACUCAGCACCGAUGGCUGGCGGACGGCGUCACCCAGCAGAGCCCAUCCCAUCCCGGCGUGACCCAGGACCCGAUCGUGGAGCCGUGAACCACGACCCGUCCAACCCAGCCGUGAAACCAUGAACCCAACGAACCCGUGCGUGAUCCAGCCAUGAUCCAUGACCCAGCCGUGAAGACCACCGACCCAGAAGCCCAUUCCAGCUGCGAUUCAGACCAGACCCGUGAACCUCGGCCCAACCCAGACGAUCCAGCUGAACCCGUGAACCCCGGCCCAACCCGUGACCCGUGAGCCCAGUCCAGCAAGCAGUAGCUGAGCCCAGUCCAGCCCAUCCCAGCAAGCAAGCCCAACCCAGUCGGCCCACGAACCAAUUUCAGCCCAGACCCGCUGAGCCUGACCCAGCAGUGAUCCAACCAUGACCUGAACCCGGAGACCCGACCCGCCGGUGACCCGUCUCCGGCAGAGUCUUCCGGCGACUUUUCCGGUAACCUUUCCGGCGACUUCCCGUGACCAAACUCACCGUUUUCACUAGAUUUUCUAGUAAAAUCCUUAAUGUUAAUAGACAAAGACCAGAACUCAAGAGGUUUUAUAGCUAAGGACGCAUAGUUUAUAUUUUGUUUGUAGUCUUCUGUGUUUAUAGCAUUUUAUAUUGACAAAAUUGCUAAUGAUUUAUAUGUAUUCUUUUGUGUCAUUAUGGACACCUGUUUCCUUGUAUUUGUUAUAAGAAUUUUCUAAUGAAUAUCUAGAGGUAUUUAAUUUAAAA